AUGUACCAAGACGUUGCUUCACUAUGCUUGUACCACAAACCCACCGAAAGCACAAGGUCCCUACUCAAGAUGGCAGAAGCUCAUCAAGCUGUGGCCUUCCAGUUCACCGUCACCCCUGAUGGCAUCGACCUCCGUCUGAGCCACGAAGCCCUCAAACAGAUAUGCUUAUCAGGAUUGCAUUCUUGGAAGAAGAAGUUCAUCCGAUUCAAGGUUGGUUGGCUGGUCUUCUCUGCAGUGCUUGCUGGGAUGUCUAGUGUACCUCCUUAGGUCCCACUCAGGAAGGAAUUAUGUCUUAGGUGGGGCUCUGAGAGAGAGCAGUGGUCUCCAAACUGGUGAAGGCUCAUGGGACACACUUGUAUAGAAUGGACUCAUAGCUCCUUAUUGUUGGAUUUUAG
rnacentral:lncRNA from 1 species